rnacentral:rRNA from 1 species
GAUUAACGCUGGCGGCGUGCAUAACACAUGCAAGUCGAACGAUGAAACUUAGUAGACUUCUUCGGAAAGACACUAAGCGGCUUAGUGGCGAACGGAUGAGUAACGCGUGAGUAACCUGCCUUACACAAGGGGAUAGCCUUUGGAAACGAAGAAUAAUACCCUAUAAAACCAUAAAAGCACAUGCUAGAAUGGUCAAAGUGAUAGCGGUGUAAGAUGGACUUGCGUCUGAUUAGCUAGUUGGUGAGAUAAAAGCUCACCAAGGCAACGAUCAGUAGCCGGCUUGAGAGAGUGUACGGCCACAUUGGGACUGAGACACGGCCCAGACUCCUACGGGAGGCAGCAGUGGGGAAUUUUGCACAAUGGGGGAAACCCUGAUGCAGCGACGCCGCGUGAUUUAGAAGGCCUUCGGGUUGUAAAAAUCUUUUGUAUAGGAAGAAAAUGACAGUACUAUACGAAUAAGGUCCGGCUAAUUACGUG